GCUCUCCAUUAUUAUCCCUUUACAGGGUGAUUCGUUCCCUCCGAACCCAAUCGGAAUCUCAAACUCUUCAUAGUGUACUACCACGUGGAGGGCCUCGCCCGCCGGUUGAAGCGUCUGCGGCAUCGACGCCGUGCUCUACCGGGUGCCCCAAACCCUUCCCGAUGAAGUCCCCGCCAAAAUGCUGGCCCCAGAGAAGGACGAUUCGAUUCCCGUAAUCGGGUUUCCGGAGGAUUUGACCGGUUCGAUUCCCGUAAUCGGGUUUCCGGAGGAUUUGACCGGCGCCGAUGGGUUUCUCUUCGGGUUUCUGACGAGGUACGGGUCCAUGGCUGCGCAAAUGAAGCCUUUCUUUGAUUCGACUGUGCAGCUAUGGAGGGAGCAAAAACUCGCCCGGAAAACAAGCCGGCUUUUUCGUCAGCACCGGCACUCAAGGCGGCGACCAAUAGACCACUGCGUGAACUGCAAUUACUCAACUAGCAGAUACGGAAUGCUUUUUGUUCCGAUUGGAUAUACUUUUGGAGCAGGUGUGUUUAAAAUGGAUUCGAUAAGAGGUGGCUCUCCGUACGGUGCUGAAGUUUAUGCAGGUGAUGGAACAAGGGAACGGUAAUAAGAGGAAAAGAAAGGUGUUGGAUAAUGAUAGCCAGUCUCUCUGCAGCUUGCUUUUGAUGGUGUCAAGGAUAUUACCGGUGUUGAACGGUGUGCAUCCAGGUAUUGAACGGUGGUGCACGGGCCUACAAUUUCUGACUAUGACCGCCGCCCUCCUCUGCCGCCUUCAAUCAGGUCUUCCGCCGCCGCCUCCGCCGCUUCGUUCGAGGCCACCGCCCCAGCUGCCAGUGUCACUUCCCACCGCAUUUUUCAUCCAAUUGCAGACCGCUCCCCCUUUUCGAUCUCAUCCGGACUUGGAUUACUCAAGAAUUGUCUAUUGUCGGUGCCCACCCCUUUUCUCCAACAUAAUCAUGGUGUUUCCUUUGGGGAUUCUUCGUGUUAGUUCUUCCGUGUUCUACAACACCGUGCCUCAUUUGUGGACGCGAAAUCUUGAGAUUUAUUUCACUGUAGCCUUGAAAAGCACAUUGGUGUGGUAAGUGUAAACCCCGUAUAACAUCCCGAAAGCAUUCUUCGAUAUUUAAUCUAAAAUUGUAUUUUUCAGGCCUUGAUUUUGCUCGUCAGUCUAUGAUUUGUCGAUUUUAGCCUUUGCUUUUGCUAUUGUUCGGAUAUUCUGAAUUUUUUUUUAUGGAACUCCUCUGUUUUUGUUUCUCUCUGUUUUGGUGAUAUGGUCUUAUUCUUCAAACUGUGGCCUGAUUUUUUCCUUAUUUUAAGAUCAUGCAUUGUUGAAGCAGGUGAAAGCAAUGAGGCAACUACAACUUAGAAAAUUGAGGAUUGUGGCAAACAAGCAAAUGUGCAGCAAAUCUCUGUAGCUCAAUUUCUUGUUUGUGUUUCCUUUGCACGAUUUUUCUUUUUAUCUUUAAUCAAAUGAGGUCUGGUAUCGAUUGUUUAAUUUAUGCUAUCGAUUCGUGACUGGAAUUUUAACUAAUAAAUGUAAACACUUCCAUUGCAGAUCUGCUCGUGGGGUCUUGUCUGGUAAAACAUAUUGAGGACUUGCACUUGCGCAACAACUGUAUUAGGCGUGGUAAGAGUAGGGAGUUGAAGCUAUGGAGGGAGCGCGUCUGCUUGGAUUGCAUUUGUGGGGCCGACCAGGCACCUCACUGCCGCCAAUUUUUUUGCCCCGUCUGGAUGCGUAUGAGUUUCACUUUCACUAUUUGUGUGCCAAUUCUUAAAAAUCGAAUAAUUGAUGCAUGUUUAUUGGUUAUCUGUGGUCUAUAGAGGUUUUAUAAUUUGCCUGUGCUUCUCUUUUCAUUAGUCAUAAGUUGCUGCUUGAGUUUAGUUUUUAUUUGUUUAGUUUAUUGGGAGUUUUAUUGAAGUUUUGAACUGAUAUACAAGUAUUCUUUGGAUAGUUAUAAUAUUAAACUUGUAUUAUUCAAUCAAACAGAUCGACAUUGUAUACAUGGGAGACACUCUUAAUUAUUCAUCUAUGUAGAUUUUUAUAUUAAUACGCAGUUUGCAGGUGAUCCUCUCGUGGAAGAUAUCUCUAGACUGCACAACAACGGUGUAGGCAGAUCAAAUAGGGUAUAGUUUUUAGUUCUGAUAACUUAUUAUGAGUUCUUUUAUGUUCUUAAAGUUGGAAAGUUUAUGUUGGCUGAUUUUUCCAUUUUCAAAAAUUAUUUUACCUGAACAAAUAAAGUAAUAGAUUGAGCCACGAUGUUGACAAGUUUGUAGAGCCAACCGAUGCAUACAGUGAUUUGUUCGACAACCUGAAUUGGUGAGUUUAUAUGUUUUCCCUUUAAGGUAAAACCAUUUAGGUUCCGAUUCUGGAUCCAGGCGCAUGGUUGAAGUGAUGAAAUAAUUUUCUUCUUUGCCUCAAUACAUUCCGGUAUUCCAUUUUCCUUACGAUAUGAGUCUGUGUUGCAUUUAUUCCUUAUGAUAUUUCUUCAGUACUGUUUUUAAAUUAUAUAUAUUAAACGAUAUUCAGUUUUCAGUUCUUUUAUGUGGGAUAGAGCUAUGACGGAUUUAUGCAUGUGUGUGUGUGUGUGUGUGUGAGAGUGUGGAUUACCUAACAAAAUAUGCUUGUUUUGCAGUGUGAAAAUAGCUAAUUAGGAAAACAUGGACUUCUUUUAAUGUUAUUUCCAGUCUCUCUCCAAGGCCAUGCACAAGCUAAAAUUCCUCUGGAAAAGGCGCACACAUAUUUUGCUAGUGGACUCAAAGAUCUUAUACUUGCAUAACGACGCUUCCUCCUAUCUUCUCUCCACACCCACAACCCUCCUGCCCCGCCGGACGACUACGCCCUCUCCGACCUACUCCUCCUCGACGAGACCUCCCGCUCCACCGCAGAUGGAACUGUCCCUGCCAUCGCUCCCCACAUUUGCCUUCACGUCGAUGGCCCCUUACUCUUCCCUCUCCACGUCGCGCCCUUAUUUCCUCUCU